rnacentral:tRNA from 1 species
UGUAAGGUGCCUGAUUAAAGGGUUAUUUUGAUAGAAUAAAUUAAGUGUGCGGACCACCCUUACUU